rnacentral:misc_RNA from 1 species
GAUGAAGAACGUAGCGAAAUGCAAUACGUAAUGUGAAUUGCAGAAUUCAGUGAAUCAUCGAAUCUUUGAACGCAUAUUGCGCUCUCUGGUAUUCCGGAGAGCAUGCUUGUUUGAGUAUCAGUAAACACCUCAACUUCCAUAUCUUUUUUUGAAAUGGGAGUUGGACUUGAGUGAUCCCAACGCUUUUCCUCACCGAAAAGUGGCGGGUUACUUGAAAUGCAGGUGCAGCUGGACUUUUCUCUGAGCUAUAAGCAUAUCUAUUUAGUCUGCCUAAAAAACAGAUUAUUACCUUUGCUGCAGCUAACAUAAAGGAGAUUAGUUCUUGUGCUGACUGAUGCAGGAUUCACAAAGACAGCUUCGGCCGACUUUGUAAACUCGAUCUCAAAUCAAGUAAGACUACCCGCUGAACUUAAGCAUAUCAAUAAGCGGAGGA